rnacentral:lncRNA from 1 species
CCAAGCAUCACCAUAGUCCUAUCAUUAUAGACCAAAGAGAAGGACAAAUGAAACAAAAAGGGAGUCACACAUUGGAAGAUGAGGAAAAGAAUAAAAGGAAAGCCAUCAUACCUAUUCUCUGACCCAAGGUGGGGUCCCCGGAUCCAGGACAGUAAGGAAUUGGCUCCCACAAUCAUGGAGGCUGAGAAGUCCCAUGAUCUGCUGUCCACAAGCUGGAGACGCAAGAGAGCUGGUGGCAUGGUGCCUGUCCAAGUCUGAAGGCCUGAGCACCAGGGGAGCCAGUGAUUCAAGCUCCAGUCCAAGGACAGGAGAAGACUGAUGUUCCAGUUCAGUCAGCCAGAGAGUGACUCCUCCCUUCCCCCAUCUUUUUGUUCUAUUCAGGCCCUCAACAGAUUGGAUGGUGCCCACCGACCUUGAGGAGGGCCCUCUGCUUUACUCAUUUCUAAUGCUAAUUUCUUCCAAAACACCAGCAUAGACACACGUAUAAAUAAUGUUUAGCCAAAUAUCAGGGCACCCCAUAGCCCAGUCAAGUUGACACAUAAAAUUAACCAUCAUAGACAACUUUAAUCACUACUGGAAUUAACAGCGAACAAUUCCAGCUCCCAAAUGUACAUCUGGGAUUCAGAUCACAUAUGUCCUCCCAGGAGAGAAAGACUGGUGCCAAGAGGGAGGCAUCUAAGGGAAAAACCCAGAGAUAUUGAGAAUGACAACAAAUACUAAUAAAAACGACAACAAUAAUAGUUAACCCGUAUUAAGGACUUACUAUUGGCCAGAGACUGUGCCCUGAGCUUUAUAUGUCUUCUCAUUUCUGUUCACAUCAGAUUUGGAAGCAGGCUUAUUGUGUAUUUCAUACAGGAGGAUGUUGAGGCUGAGAGUGGGGAACAAGCAGUGGAGGGGGGAUUCAAACUCAUGGCACCCACGUUCUUUCCUUCUGAAGAAAUUGGUCCUCAACUCUUUCAGGUGGAAAGGUAAGAAAGAAAUCUGACACCUCAAAAAAUUCACUAUUUCCUGCAUUUUAACUGAGUUGACUUAAACUAGGGGGAAAAACUAGUGGGAAAUAUCCAGUCUUGAACUGAGAAAAUCUUGUCAAAACUCUAAGCGCACAAAUGCGUAGUCGCUGCCGGAGGGCGGAAGGCUGUCCUCUCCCGACCGUGCUUCCUCCCGCGGGACACGCUGGCAGUGCAUCGUGUUAGCAAAACACUUCCGAACAGUUCAGCGUUUUAAGGCCAGCCAAUUCCAAGCGCUA